rnacentral:lncRNA from 1 species
ACUGUGUUGAGUGUUUAAAAAGUUUGCUAAAGAGAAAAAAGAAAAGUAAAAAGAAAAAUUCAAUAAUUCACCAUAUGAGGCCAGCAUGCACGGGUCUGCGAGUACUGGAUAACUUCUGCUUUCAACGGACGCCCUUUGAAGGAUUUAUUUAAUGAUUAUUUUUCACUGUGGAAUAUUAUUACUGUCCUUCGGGAUUAUUGGACUAUUCAUAAUGAGAAUGAUUACUUUCAACGUAUAGACACCAUGGACAAACAAAAGACCGCUGCGAACACUGCAGCCACUGUGUGCUAG